rnacentral:rRNA from 1 species
UGGUGGAGUGAUUUGUCUGGUUAAUUCCGAUAACGAACGAGACCCCGUCCUACUUACUAGACUUGAGAUGAUUUUCAUCUCUUGAAUCUUCUUAGGGAGGACA